rnacentral:rRNA from 1 species
CUGCCCCGCGCUCCGGGACAACCGCUGGAAACGGCGGCUAAUACCGGAUACUCCGGGAGGGCCCCAUGGCCCUGCCGGGAAAGCCGAGACGGCGCGGGAUGGGGUCGCGGCCCAUUAGGUAGACGGCGGGGUAACGGCCCACCGUGCCCGCGAUGGGUAGCCGGACUGAGAGGUCGACCGGCCACAUUGGGACUGAGAUACGGCCUAGACUCCUACGGGAGGCAGCAGUGGGGAAUUUUGCGCAAUGGGGGAAACCCUGACGCAGCAACGCCGCGUGCGGGACGAAGGCCCUCGGGUUGUAAACCGCUUUCAGCAGGGAAGAUCCAAGACGGUACCUGCAGAAGAAGCUCCGGCUAACUACGUGCCAGCAGCCGCGGUAAUACGUAGGGGGCGAGCGUUAUCCGGAUUCAUUGGGCGUAAAGCGCGCGUAGGCGGCCGCCUAAGCGGGACCUCUAACCCCGGGGCUCAACCCCGGGCCGGGUCCCGGACUGGGCGGCUCGAGUGCGGUAGAGGAGAGCGGAAUUCCCGGUGUAGCGGUGGAAUGCGCAGAUAUCGGGAAGAACACCGAUGGCGAAGGCAGCUCUCUGGGCCGUCACUGACGCUGAGGCGCGAAAGCUGGGGGAGCGAACAGGAUUAGAUACCCUGGUAGUCCCAGCUGUAAAC